CCUACGGGAGGCAGCAGUGAGGAAUAUUGCUCAAUGGGCGCGAGCCUGAUCCAGCCAAGCCGCGUGAAGGAUGAAUGCCCUACGGGCUGUAAACUUCUUUUAUAAAGGAAUAAAGUGAGGCACGUGUGCCUUUUUGUAUGUACUUUAUGAAUCCGGAUCGGCUAACUCCGUGCCAGCAGCCGCGGUAAUACGGAGGAUCCGAGCGUUAUCCGGAUUUAUUGGGUUUAAAGGGAGCGUAGAUGGGUUGUUAAGUCAGUUGUGAAAGUUUGUGGCUCAACCGUAAAAUUGCAAUGGAUACUGGCAGACUUGAGUGCAGUUGAGGUAGGCGGAAUUCGUGGUGUAGCGGUGAAAUGCUUAGAUAUCACGAAGAACUCCGAUUGCGAAGGCAGCUUACUAGACUGCCACUGACAUUGAGGCUCGAAAGCGUGGGUAGCAAACAGGAUUAGAUACCCGAGUAGUC
rnacentral:rRNA from 1 species